AGUUAGUUAUUUUUUUAAAUAAUUGUAAUAUAGAUUUUAAAAGAUAAUACAAAAUAUUUAAUGUUACUGCACAUGAUACACACUGUAAUAAUCAUAUCACUAACAAGACCUUAUGAUAAUGUAGGUUGAAGGAUUAGUUGCUGUUCCUCUCUGUUACAUCCUCAUGACUCCCACAUGUUUUCUAUCAUGACGUCAUGAUGCAAAUCCAGACUGCUGUGUGUCCAUGCUGUAUUUAUGUGCAGCUGAGUUAAGUAGAGCGAUCGAGUCUCAUCAACACUCACCAUGAAGAUCCCACUCUCCUUAUUCCUGCUACUAAUCAGCCUCAUAGGUAUUCAGUAUCAGAGUCUUGAGUCUAUUCCCAUUGUUUCAGUGGUGAAAAAACCUGGAGAAACUCUGAGUCUUUCCUGUAAAGGAUCUGGGUUUAACUUUGGUGGCUAUGGCAUGCAUUGCAUCAGACAACAAGCUGGAAAAGCUCUGAAAUGGAUUGGGGUUAUCUGGUCUGAUGCCAGUAAAACAAUAUACACCAAAGACAUUGAAAGACGUUUGGAAAUUACCAGAGACAACUCCAAAAACAUGGUAUAUCUGCAGCUGAGCGGUUUGAGUGCCCAGGAUUCUGUAGUUUAUUACUGUUCUAGAAACCACAGUGGCACAAACAUGUUAAUCAAUCGUCCAAAAUCCUCCCCCAGAUGUGGUGAAAGAAAAAAGUGCUUUCAAUAUACGGGGCACGUUCACAAGACCUACAGGUGGCGCUACAGCUCAACAAAUUUACUGUAACAUCGUAGGUUUAAAGUACAACAUAUUCUCAUAUCCCCAGUCAGAUCUAAAUACUCCACAAUUUCUAUAUAUUUCUGUGACACAAUGAACACCAAGACUGUCUCUUAUAGUCAUAUUCUUACAGAGGAACCAAAAAGGAAAUAAAUAAAAUUUACAGAAAAAUGUCAGACUUUAAUUAGUGAUUACUGAAUACAUACAUUUUACAAAAGUUCCAUAACAUUAACAUAAAAAGUUCAAUAUACAGUAAUACCUCAAGAUAUGAGUUUAAUUUGUUCUGUGACCUUGCUCAUAUCUCAAUUUGCUGGUAUCUCAAAACAAUUUUCCCCAUUUAAAUUAAUUGAAAUCCCAUUAAUCCGUUCCAGCUCGCAAAAUUUCACUCUAGUUGUUUUCUUUGUGUUUUGAAUAUGAAAAAUGUACAG